rnacentral:rRNA from 1 species
CCAAUAGCGUAUAUUAAAGUUGUUGCAGUUAAAAAGCUCGUAGUUGAAUUUCGGGAUUGGCGCAUCGGUCGUGCCUCACGGGGUAUGAACUGUUGCAGUCAAUUUCUCACCUUCUGGAGAACCGCGAUGUCCUUAAUUGGAUGCCGCGGGGAACCAGGACCUUUACUUUGAAAAAAUUAGAGUGUUUAAAGCAGGCAUUU